UACGGAGGGGGCUAGCGUUGUUCGGAAUUACUGGGCGUAAAGCGUGCGCAGGCGGUUUUGUAAGCCAGGUGUGAAAUCCCCGGGCUCAACCUGGGAAUGGCAUUUGGGACUGCAAGGCUGGAGUGCGGCAGAGGAGACUGGAAUUCCUGGUGUAGCAGUGAAAUGCGUAGAUAUCAGGAGGAAUACCGAUGGCGAAGGCAGGUCUCUGGGCUGACACUGACGCUCAUGCACGAAAGCGUGGGGAGCAAACAGG
rnacentral:rRNA from 1 species